AAGAGACCGGCCCUGAUGGAGCCGGGAGGGUGAUUUACUCACCUGCCGCUCCAGCCCCCGGAUUUUAUUUGGAAAUAAGACACUUCAUUACAUCUCUGUAAACAAGAUCUACUCAGAAAGGAGAACUGGUGCAGAGGAUCAAUACAGAAGUGGGAAAAGGAGGACACCAGCUCUACCAUCAUAAGUCCCUAAUCGGUUUAACCAGCAUGAUGAUCACCCAUGGUACUGCAAUGCCUUCUGCUAUCACUGUCACUCCUGAGCCCACUGCUAACACCCACCACCUGCCACAUGGUAGCACAGGACUGGGAUACAGCACAGAGGCCAAUAACCCAG